UUAUCUGUCAAAUAACGGGUCAAUUUGUCGGGUCAAUAUUACACAUUAUUUUGAAAAGCCCGGGUACGCAUCAAGACGGGUAGUUUUAUGUGUUGUCAAAUUUUGAACCGCUUUGUUGCAAGUCCGCUGGACUGUUUGGAGGAGGAUUUUAACUUUGCGUGGGCACAUGAGGAGGAUUCCGAACCAGAAAUGCUUCGUGAUAAAACUACGCUGGUAAAUGGUUGCCCUGUGACCACAAGCUGCGGAAAUCAUUAUGCUCCGAAAAGGCUGAAAUCGAGCGGUAGAAUGUUAAAAAUGAUUUGUGAAGAAAAAAAAAGUGAAAUGAUUAAAG